rnacentral:rRNA from 1 species
ACCUUCGGGUGUGACUGCGUACCUUUUGUAUAAUGGGUCAGCGACUUAUAUUCUGUAGCAAGGUUAACCGUAUAGGGGAGCCGCAGGGAAACCGAGUCUUAACUGGGCGUUAAGUUGCAGGGUAUAGACCCGAAACCCGGUGAUCUAGCCAUGGGCAGGUUGAAGGUUGGGUAACACUAACUGGAGGACCGAACCGACUAAUGUUGAAAAAUUAGCGGAUGACUUGUGGCUGGGGGUGAAAGGCCAAUCAAACCGGGAGAUAGCUGGUUCUCCCCGAAAGCUAUUUAGGUAGCUGCCUCGUGAACUCAUCUUCGGGGUAGAGCACUGUUUCGGCUAGGGGUCAUCCCGACUUACCAACCGAUGCAACUACGAAUACCGAAGAAUGUUAUCACGGGAGACACACGGCGGGUGCUAACGUCCGUCGUGAAG